UACAGAGGUCUCGAGCGUUUGUUCGGGAUUCAUUGGGCGUAAAGGGUGCGUAGGUGGCUAGGUAAGUCGGAUGUGAAAAUCCCCGGGGGCUCAACCCCCGGAACUGCAUUCGAUACUGCCUGGCUAGAGUACUGGAGAGGAGAUUGGAAUUUACGGUGUAGCAGUGAAAUGCGUAGAUAUCGUAAGGAAGACCAGUGGCGAAGGCGGAUCUCUGGACAGUUACUGACACUGAGGCACGAAGGCCAGGGGAGCAAACGGG
rnacentral:rRNA from 1 species